UAUUCGUUAGUGUAAAGAGCAUAAAAAAUUUUGAUUUUUUAGGAAACAGUGUAAUUCUGUUACGUUUAA
rnacentral:tRNA from 1 species